UACGUAGGGGGCGAGCGUUGUCCGGAAUCAUUGGGCGUAAAGCGCGUGUAGGCGGCUCGAUAAGUCUGCUGUGAAAGUCCAGGGCUCAACCCUGGAAUGCCGGUGGAAACUGUCGAGCUUGAGUCCGGAAGAGGCGAGUGGAAUUCCUGGUGUAGCGGUGAAAUGUGCAGAUAUCAGGAGGAACACCAAUGGCGAAGGCAGCUCGCUGGGACGGUACUGACGCUGAGACGCGAAAGCGUGGGGAGCAAACAGG
rnacentral:rRNA from 1 species